rnacentral:rRNA from 1 species
GUCGAGCGGAUGAAGGGAGCUUGCUCCCUGAUUCAGCGGCGGACGGGUGAGUAAUGCCUAGGAAUCUGCCUGGUAGUGGGGGACAACGUCUCGAAAGGGACGCUAAUACCGCAUACGUCCUACGGGAGAAAGUGGGGGAUCUUCGGACCUCACGCUAUCAGAUGAGCCUAGGUCGGAUUAGCUAGUUGGUGAGGUAAUGGCUCACCAAGGCGACGAUCCGUAACUGGUCUGAGAGGAUGAUCAGUCACACUGGAACUGAGACACGGUCCAGACUCCUACGGGAGGCAGCAGUGGGGAAUAUUGGACAAUGGGCGAAAGCCUGAUCCAGCCAUGCCGCGUGUGUGAAGAAGGUCUUCGGAUUGUAAAGCACUUUAAGUUGGGAGGAAGGGCAGUAAAUUAAUACUUUGCUGUUUUGACGUUACCGACAGAAUAAGCACCGGCUAACUCUGUGCCAGCAGCCGCGGUAAUACAGAGGGUGCAAGCGUUAAUCGGAAUUACUGGGCGUAAAGCGCGCGUAGGUGGUUUGUUAAGUUGAAUGUGAAAUCCCCGGGCUCAACCUGGGAACUGCAU